GAUGAACGCUGGCGGCGUGCCUAAUACAUGCAAGUCGAGCGAACGGACGAGAAGCUUGCUUCUCUGAUGUUAGCGGCGGACGGGUGAGUAACACGUGGAUAACCUACCUAUAAGACUGGGAUAACUUCGGGAAACCGGAGCUAAUACCGGAUAAUAUUUUGAACCGCAUGGUCCAAAAGUGAAGGACGGUCUUGCUGUCACUUAUAGAUGGAUCCGCGCUGCAUUAGCUAGUUGGUAAGGUAACGGCUUACCAAGGCAACGAUGCAUAGCCGACCUGAGAGGGUGAUCGGCCACACUGGAACUGAGACACGGUCCAGACUCCUACGGGAGGCAGCAGUAGGGAAUCUUCCGCAAUGGGCGAAAGCCUGACGGAGCAACGCCGCGUGAGUGAUGAAGGUCUUCGGAUCGUAAAACUCUGUUAUUAGGGAAGAACAUAUGUGUAAGUAACUGUGCACAUCUUGACGGUACCUAAUCAGAAAGCCACGGCUAACUACGUG
rnacentral:rRNA from 1 species